rnacentral:rRNA from 1 species
UACAGAGGUCUCAAGCGUUGUUCGGAUUCACUGGGCGUAAAGGGUGCGCAGGCGGUUGUGUGUGUCAGGUGUGAAAGCCCGGGGCUUAACCCCGGAAUUGCGCCUGAAACUACAUGACUAGAGCAUUGGAGAGGGUAGCGGAAUUCACGGUGUAGCAGUGAAAUGCGUAGAUAUCGUGAGGAACACCAGAGGCGAAGGCGGCUACCUGGACAAUUGCUGACGCUCAGGCACGAAAGCGUGGGGAGCAAAAGGG